rnacentral:rRNA from 1 species
UAGCGGCAGGCCUAACACAUGCAAGUCGAGGGGUAACAGGGAGCUUGCUCCGCUGACGACCGGCGCACGGGUGCGCAACGCGUAUGCAAUCUACCUCUUACUAAGGGAUAGCCCAGAGAAAUUUGGAUUAAUAUCUUAUGUGAUAUUAGACUGGCAUCGGUUUAAUAUUAAAGGUUACGGUAAGAGAUGAGCAUGCGUCUCAUUAGUUAGUUGGUAAGGUAACGGCUUACCAAGACUUCGAUGAGUAGGGGUCCUGAGAGGGAGAUCCCCCACACUGGUACUGAGACACGGACCAGACUCCUACGGGAGGCAGCAGUGAGGAAUAUUGGACAAUGGACGGAAGUCUGAUCCAGCCAUGCCGCGUGUAGGAAGACUGCCCUAUGGGUUGUAAACUACUUUUAUACAGGAAGAAUAAGAUCUACGUGUAGAUUGAUGACGGUACUGUAAGAAUAAGGACCGGCUAACUCCGUGCCAGCAGCCGCGGUAAUACGGAGGGUCCGAGCGUUAUCCGGAAUUAUUGGGUUUAAAGGGUCCGUAGGCGGGCUGUUAAGUCAGAGGUGAAAUGCUGCGGCUCAACCGUAUGCACUGCCUUUGAUACUGGCGGUCUUGAGUUAUAGUGAAGUGGCUAGAAUAAGUAGUGUAGCGGUGAAAUGCAUAGAUAUUACUUAGAAUACCGAUUGCGAAGGCAGGUCACUAACUAUACACUGACGCUGAUGGACGAAAGCGUGGGUAGCGAACAGGAUUAGAUACCCUGGUAGUCCACGCCGUAAACGAUGGAUACUAGCUGUUCGGUUUUCGGACUGAGCGGCCAAGCGAAAGUGAUAAGUAUCCCACCUGG